rnacentral:tRNA from 1 species
GCCGGGGUGGCCUAGCCUGGUAGGGCGCAGGCCUGGAAAGCCUGUUCUCCUCGCGGAGUUCAUGGGUUCAAAUCCCAUCCCCGGCG